AUUGAACGCUGGCGGCAUGCCUUACACAUGCCAGUCGAACGGCAGCACGGGUGCUUGCACCUGGUGGCGAGUGGCGAACGGGUGAGUAAUACAUCGGAACAUGUCCUGUAGUGGGGGAUAGCCCGGCGAAAGCCGGAUUAAUACCGCAUACGAUCUACGGGUGAAAGCGGGGGACCUUCGGGCCUCGCGCUAUAGGGUUGGCCGAUGGCUGAUUAGCUAGUUGGUGGGGUAAAGGCCUACCAAGGCGACGAUCAGUAGCUGGUCUGAGAGGACGACCAGCCACACUGGGACUGAGACACGGCCCAGACUCCUACGGGAGGCAGCAGUGGGGAAUUUUGGACAAUGGGCGAAAGCCUGAUCCAGCAAUGCCGCGUGUGUGAAGAAGGCCUUCGGGUUGUAAAGCACUUUUGUCCGGAAAGAAAUCCUUGGCCCUAAUACGGUCGGGGGAUGACGGUACCGGAAGAAUAAGCACCGGCUAACUACGUG
rnacentral:rRNA from 1 species